rnacentral:lncRNA from 1 species
GUACUGGUGGUGGUGGUGAGUUAAAUGGUACAGGUGGUGGAGGAGAAUGGACAGGUGGUGGUGGAGAAUGUAUUGGGGCUGGUGGAGGUGAGUGGACUGGUGGUGGAGGUGAGUGGACUGGUGGUGGAGGUGAAUGGACUGGGGGUGGUGGAGAAUGCAUUGGGGGUGGUGGAGAAUGGACUGGUGGUGGAGGUGAGUGGACUAGGGGUGGUGGAGAAUGGACUGGUGGUGGAGGUGAGUGGACUGGGGGUGGUGGAGGUGAGUGGACUGGGGGUGGUGGAGAAUGGACUGGUGGUGGAGGUGAGUGGACUGGGGGUGGUGGAGAAUGAACUGGUGGUGGAGGUGAGUGGACUGGUGGUGGAGGUGAGUGGACUGGUGGUGGAGGUGACUGGACUAGGGGUGUGGGAGAAUGGACUGAUGGUGGUGGAGUCCUAAAUCGUCCGCGGGGCGCUUCAUUGUGAGGAUCAUCCUCAAGUGGGGGCGAUUUAGGUGUUUCUGGUGAAUGUGGUGGUUGUGGUAUUGUUGUUUGUGGUGUGGGAGGUGGCUCUGCUUUGGGGGUUGGUUGUGGUUCUGGCUUAGGGGUUUGUGGUGUGGAAGGUGGUUGCACUUCUGGUGUUUCAGGUGUAGGUGGAGGUUCUGGAUUGGGUGUUUGUGGUGUGACAGGUGGUUCCACUUCUGGUGUUUCUGGUGUGGGUGGAGGUUCUGGCUUAGGUGUUUGUGGUGUGACAGGUGCUUGUGUUUUUGGUGUUUCUGGUGUGGGUGGUUUUGUUUUGGGGGUUUCUGGUGUCUGUGGCGGUGAUUCUGGGUUCGAG